rnacentral:rRNA from 1 species
GCCAUACCACCCUGACCAUGUGGGAUCUUGCCUGAUCUCAGAAGCUAUGCAGGGUCAGGCCUGGUUAGUACUUGGAUGGGAGGUGAGUGUGAUGUACAAGUCUGCA